UACGUAGGUGGCAAGCGUUGUCCGGAAUUACUGGGUGUAAAGGGAGCGCAGGCGGGAAGCCAAGUCAGCUGUGAAAACUACGGGCUUAACUUGUAGACUGCAGUUGAAACCGGUUUUCUUGAGUGAAGUAGAGGUUGGCGGAAUUCCGAGUGUAGCGGUGAAAUGCGUAGAUAUUCGGAGGAACACCGGUGGCGAAGGCGGCCAACUGGGCUUUAACUGACGCUGAGGCUCGAAAGUGUGGGGAGCAAACAGG
rnacentral:rRNA from 1 species